UACGUAGGGUGCAAGCGUUGUCCGGAAUUAUUGGGCGUAAAGGGCUCGUAGGCGGUUUGUCGCGUCUGCUGUGAAAACUGGAGGCUCAACCUCCAGCCUGCAGUGGGUACGGGCAAACUAGAGUGCGGUAGGGGAGAUUGGAAUUCCUGGUGUAGCGGUGGAAUGCGCAGAUAUCAGGAGGAACACCGAUGGCGAAGGCAGAUCUCUGGGCCGUAACUGACGCUGAGGAGCGAAAGCAUGGGGAGCGAACAGG
rnacentral:rRNA from 1 species